GACGAACGCUGGCGGCGUGCUUAACACAUGCAAGUCGAACGGAAAGGCCCUGCUUUUGUGGGGUGCUCGAGUGGCGAACGGGUGAGUAACACGUGAGUAACCUGCCCUUGACUUUGGGAUAACUUCAGGAAACUGGGGCUAAUACCGGAUAGGAGCUCCUGCUGCACGGUGGGGGUUGGAAAGUUUCGGCGGUUGGGGAUGGACUGGCGGCUUAUCAGCUUGUUGGUGAGGUAGUGGCUUACCAAGGCUUUGACGGGUAGCCGGCCUGAGAGCGUGACCGGCCACAAUAGGACUGAGGUACGGCGCAGUAUCCUACGGGAGGCAGCAGUCGGGAAUAUGGCACAGUGAGCCGAAGCCUGAGGCAGCGACGCCGCGUGCGGGAUGCCGGCCUUCGGGUUGUAAACCGCUUUCGACUGUGACGAAGCGGGAGUGACGGUAAUGGGUAAAGAAGCACCGGCUAACUACGUG
rnacentral:rRNA from 1 species